rnacentral:rRNA from 1 species
AACGAACGCUGGCGGCAUGCCUAAUACAUGCAAGUCGAACGAGAUCUUCGGAUCUAGUGGCGCACGGGUGCGUAACGCGUGGGAAUCUGCCCUUGGGUUCGGAAUAACGUCGGGAAACUGACGCUAAUACCGGAUGAUGACGUAAGUCCAAAGAUUUAUCGCCCAAGGAUGAGCCCGCGUAGGAUUAGCUAGUUGGUGAGGUAAAGGCUCACCAAGGCGACGAUCCUUAGCUGGUCUGAGAGGAUGAUCAGCCACACUGGGACUGAGACACGGCCCAGACUCCUACGGGAGGCAGCAGUAGGGAAUAUUGGACAAUGGGCGCAAGCCUGAUCCAGCAAUGCUGCGUGAGUGAUGAAGGCCUCAGGAUUGUAAAGCUCUUUUACCCGGGAUGAUAAUGACAGUACCGGGAGAAUAAGCCCCGGCUAACUCCGUGCCAGCCGCCGCCGUAACAC